UACGGGGGGGGGCAAGCGUUGUUCGGAAUUACUGGGCGUAAAGGGCUCGUAGGCGGCCAACUAAGUCGGACGUGAAAUCCCCAGGCUCAACCUGGGAACUGCGUCCGAUACUGGAUGGCUUGAAUCCGGGAGAGGGAUGCAGAAUUCCAGGUGUAGCGGUGAAAUGCGUAGAUAUCUGGAGGAAUACCGGUGGCGAAGGCGGCAUCCUGGACCGGCAUUGACGCUGAGACGCGAAAAGCGUGGGGGAGCAAACAGG
rnacentral:rRNA from 1 species